AGCGAUCAACCCUAAAACAGAAAUACAUGAGUACAUAUGAGUUUUGCUUCAAAACCACAUGCAUGAACGUGGCGUUAAUCCGACAGGAAAAACAGCAACACACCAGGAUAGGCAUGGGAGCAGACGAAUGACAUGGAUGUAAAUGAUGCAGGAUUUAAAAUCGGGGUUGCAAAUAUUUUAGGAGGAAGGACAUACAUUUAACCUGUUAGUUAGACCUCAAGGAUACACACGGUGUGAUGUGGUGAGAAACGAUUCAUAUAUAACUUCAGAGGGAACCUUUUUAAGCUUAGCAAAAUCACUACAAGCAAGGAGAAAGCUUGCUGUCUACAAAGUUUAAAAAAUAACCACCACCUCUAUAUCUCACUAAUUAACACGUAUCAUGCUUGUUUAAUCUGUACACAAACAGAAAUGUAAAGGGUCAUGUAUUGCCAAGCAAUUCUAUUCCUGGGAAGGUUGUAACAUCCUCACAUUUACAUAAGAAAGUCAACAAACAGGGUAAGUAUCAAUGUGGCAGCAGUACUGAGGGAUAGGGAAAAGAUUAUGACUUUGCUUUUUUUAAAUGCAGUAUAUAUUUAAAUCCAAACUAACAAAAACUGGAAUGAAUUAAAUAGCCAUAAGGAAAAACUCUGGUUUCUGUCACUGCAGGGCAUGUACUCUCACUUUGCAUUCAGUCCAAAUGCUCUGACCGAAAAAAAAAAAAGAAGGGAAAACAACAAUAGCAAUAUAUAUAUCUAUAAAAACAAAUUCAGUCAUGCCACAUCAUCACAUAAACCAGCAACACCAGCUACAGACAGUGAUACUCAACUCUUCUGCUAAUAUAGCUAACAUCCCAUCAACAGCAUAUCUUGGAAGACUAGAAAGUAAACUGAAUGCAUAUAAGUCAUUUAACGUUACCUAACAAAUAGCAUAGAUGGAAUAGUGUAUGUGUGUAUAUAUUUUUUUAUUAUUGGACUUUUAUGUAUCUACUAUGAAUUUUUUUUCAAAGAUUUGUUUUAGGUUAAAACAAACUUUAUCACUAAAGUUGGUUUCAUUUAUAAAGCAAACUAUAUUUGGGAGUUAAAUGCUGAAUUAAAGUGGUUUUAAAAUGGAAA